AGAGAGAGACAUGCGCGCAUAUCAAUAAGCGGAGGAAAAGAAACUAACUAGGAUUCCCUUAGUAACGGCGAGUGAAGCGGGAAGAGCUCAAAUUUGAAAUCUUCAAGGUUCUACCUUGACGAAUUGUAGUUUAUAAGAAGUGUUUUCUGUUAGGUGUAGUGGCUAAAAGUUCUUUGGAAUAGGACAUCAUAGAGGGUGAGAAUCCCGUAUUUGGUCAUUCCUCCUAGCGUUGUGAUACACUUUCAACGAGUCGGAUUGUUUGGGAAUGCAGUCCAAAAUGGGUGGUAAAUUUCAUCUAAAGCUAAAUAUUGGCGAGAGACCGAUAGCGAACAAGUACCGUGAGGGAAAGAUGAAAAGAACUUUGAAAAGAGAGUUAAACAGUACGCUGAAAUUGUCAAAAGGGAAGCGUUUGACACCAGUGUUGUUUUUCCGAAAAUCAAUUACGAAUGUUUUAUUUUUGAGAAGUUAUGACUUCAUCGGCUUGCUUCUUUCUUUACGAAACUUUCUUAAUGCACUUUUCGGUUAACAAGUCAACAUCAAUUUCUUUUGUUGUAAAAGGGUACUGAGGAAGGUGGCUUUCUUUAUCGGAGAAAGUGUUUAUAGCCUUGUGCCUCUGCAAUCGGAGAGAUUGAGGUCUGCAGCGUAGAUCCUUCGGGGUUAGAUACAUUUGUGCUAAGUUAUAGCUUUUCAUAGACAACUUGUUGACUAUGUUUAGUCUUGUAGCUUACUCGCUUAUGCUAUUUUACCUACGCUUAGGAUGUUGAUAGUCACAGCGUGUAC
rnacentral:rRNA from 1 species